UACGAAGGGUGCAAGCGUUACUCGGAAUUACUGGGGGUAAAGCGUGCGUAGGUGGUUUGUUAAGUCUGAUGUGAAAGCCCUGGGCUCAACCUGGGAAUUGCAUUGGAUACUGGCAGGCUAGAGUGCGGUAGAGGAUGGCGGAAUUCCCGGUGUAGCAGUGAAAUGCGUAGAGAUCGGGAGGAACAUCUGUGGCGAAGGCGGCCAUCUGGACCAGCACUGACACUGAGGCACGAAAGCGUGGGGAGCAAACAGG
rnacentral:rRNA from 1 species